rnacentral:lncRNA from 1 species
CUGGGCGGGACUGGAACCGGCACUUGGCACCCCUUACGCCUUACGGUGGCCGCUGCGCCCAGUCACAUCUAUUGCAUUUCUCUGGAAUGACCACAGCAAUAUUUCCAGCCCUUGAUGAUCUUCUAGAACUUUGCCACUUCCCUGCAUCAAGAGAGUGACUGUGGACAAAUUCUGGCAUUCAGAAUCAAGUGUACAAAAUGGUGAGUAAGGUUGGCAAUGGAGUUUCUUAGAGCAGCCCCACAAUGUGCUAUGCUUUUUUUUUCUCACUGUUUAUUUCUUAGCUUAUUGACCCUAUCUAUUUGCCUUCAAGUUUUGUUCUUUGGGCCUUUUAGGGAUUCUGUGGGCUAGCUAAUAACCUUCUACAAAGCCUUUUCUGCUAAAAAUAUCUCAGUUCAAUACUAUUGUUUGCAAGUAUAAGCCUGACUAAUGGAGAGUUUCAGGUGGUAGGUGUUGCACCCCGCCCCCCCACCAAAAAAAUGAUAAAUACCUCCUCUGCUAAAAUAUACAUGUAGAGAUUGGGAGUGUUGGUCUUCACUCAGUAUUUGUAAAAAAAAUGGAUUAACAGACCUAGAGAAUGUGCACAACCGUUGGUUGUGACAGCAAAAUAUUCUACUGUACUAGUCAACCUGUGAGUUUCAAGCCUCAAAUGCUAUAUGACACAUUGGAUGCAUAAUUAAGCUGCAGCAUUGCAUUAAUAUCAAUAACUAGCAUUUGUUGAGUGCUCACCAGACAGUGCUAUAUAGGUUAUUUUAUAAGUUAUUUUAUGUAAUCCUCAAAAUAAACCUUUGAAGUAUUUACUAGUGGCAUCUCUAUUUUAUAGAAGAGGAAAUUAAGGUUUAGACCAGUUUAAGUACUUUCCCAUGGUCAAUCUGUUUGGUAGGCAGGAAUGGGAUAUGGACCUAUAUCUAUCUGACCCUAGAUUUCUCAUUAUGCCAUUAAACAACACUGGCUCUUACUGUUAUUGAAUGUAGAUUUAACUGGUCUGCUCAGUAUUGCAGAGAAUUUGAUGAGGAAAUUAUGAUGGAGGAUGCAUACUUAACAAAGAAAAUCUCCUGGAUGGAUCUUUCCUAUACAGGAAUUGUGAAAAUCUUCCCUGAGACAGGUAAGUUAUGCUGAUUGUGUUUGAAAACCUUGCCACUCAAAGCAUGUUCCAGGGACCAGCAGCACUGGCAUCAGCUGGCAGUUUGUUAGAAAUGGCUUUGCGUAUGAGAGAAUGAAAUAGGAAUAGCAAAUAAAGAAUAUCGAGAAGCCUUCUGGAUGGAGUCUUGGAUCUUGUUGUAUAGGAGAUUUUUUUUUUAGUGUCCUAAUGAAAAUUUUUGUAUGUCUAGGCAAGAUUGCAGAGUAGACUAGAUGUAUAAUUUAAUGUUAUUUUCUAAUUUAUUUUUCUUCUCUCCUUUUAAUUGCAGUAUAAAUGUACAGUAUCAUAUAUGUAUACCCAUAUAAGCAAAAGACACUAAUAGAACAAGAGUAGCAGGACCUACUUAUGAGCUCAGGUCUCCUUAUUAUCUCGUGAGCAUUUACUAAUACCUUUAUUCUUACAAAGCUUGAUAUUCUAAGUAGUAUUAAAGGGUCUGUAAGACACAUGGUACCUAAGAGAUAAUUCACAUCAUAGCUAUCACUGACUUAGACCAAUAUCUCAUCUUCUUUGUUUCAUCUUUGUCAUGACUCUGGGUAUAGACUUUCCUUGAAAACGUCACCUAAAUUCUCAUUUCAGGAGGCACCUGCCUGUCACAGAUACCAGUCAGGGAAAAAGAACACAUAAGGAUUUCCUGCUGGAACCCGAAAGCUUUUUCUGCAGUCCAGGUGGUUCUGAUAGCCCUUACCAGAUGUCUGUCCAGAGCCAUUAAGUCUUGGCAUGCUUGCUCUUGGGAAAAUAUUAAGCCAUCUCACCCAUGAGCAAGUGCUGAAUGAAUGGAAAGUUUCCAGCUGUGUGCCCAGAAAAAAAUGUUUAAUGAAGACAACUGAUGUCUUUGAAUGGUUUAUUUUCUCAAUUGUUUUUGAGGCUACAGCUUACAUAUCAAUACUUCCGAGGGACUAAGUAUACAAGAAAGACACUUAAAAUGAAACCCUUAGUAUAUAUUAGGACAAUGUCCUCAUUUUUAUGUUCUCAUUUACUUUACUAUUGAAAUUUUUAGAAUGAUUUAUCAAGAUUCUUUUAUUAUUAUUUAUUAUUUUCCUCUGCCUAAAUAAAUGGGGGUAAAAUCUAAAACCAUUUACUUAUGAGUAAAUAUGAUUGAGGAGGUUUCUAUAUGCUUAUAUUUUAAAACAGAACAAAAAAACAAAAAAUACCUACAAAGUUGGUGUUGAACUUAAUUGAACCAUGCUGCACUGACCCUUCUCACUUCUGACUCCUGUUUGCCCUUGGCUUCCUCUGUCACCUCUCCCUUCUUCAUGUCCCAUGCUCAGACUUUCGGAACCAGGUUUCCCUACCAUGUUAUGUUGUUUCAUAGCUCUUCCUCUCACUUCUUUCUCUGUGUAAAAUGCAUCUCUUCCCUGUUUACAUUUGGAAUGCCUUCUCAUUUUCAAAGGUGCAUCUGGUUUCUCUACUGAAUAGAACCUUUCCCAAUUUCCCAAUAGAGAACUUAACUACCCCUCACUUGGUGCCUACCCUGUACCCCAAAUCCCCGAUAAAACAAUCUUUACAUGGAUGUUGAGUAAAUAGUGACAAAGUGAAACAAUGAAAGGAACCAAUAAGAUUCCUUAACUCUUUAACUAAUGAUGUAUUAAUAGGACCAGAAAAUUACAGGAAAGAAUCAUUUUUUUCUUUUGCUUAUAUUUAUGCCCUAUUUGUCUAUUAUGCGGAAAACAUUAUGGUUCGGAGCCCAUGGCUUAUUCAUGUUUGUACAUCCAAUGUUCUCUCCGGUGCUAAUUUUGAUCAUCUGCUCAAAAUAAUGAUUUUGAGCAGAUGAUCAAAUAAUGAUUUCAUUGAAAAACAUCACUUCAUUGGCUUGGUACUUUUAUCGUGACCUUAGAUUUCUUGUAUAUACUACCUUUAUAUGUUAUCUGAGGAGAUUUGUUUUUAUAUAAAGGUUCUUAAUAAAUUUUCUUCAAAUGUCAGGAUCAAGAGCAUAGGCAUAUUUGCUCUGGAAUGUUUAUCCUAUUCUUCACUGAUGAUCAAUUUAGAGUGUGUCUGUUCAGGCAAGAAUAAACAGAGCAAAUGAUCUCUUUUUCCCAUAUGAGCUCUUGAAUUUCACUUUUCCCUAGAAUGAAAAGUGCUUCUUGCCAAUAGAGGAUUUUUUAUACUGUCAUUUAAAAAAUGGAUUUUCUUUUAUCAAACCAAUAACCUUUAUAUGUGCAUUGUUUUCUCCUACAUGGAGCCUUGAGAUCAGCUUUCACAGAUUCUGUUUUGUGGUGAGUGCUGUCAGUGUAGAAGGAUGUCAUUUGUCAUGCCUUAGAGACUGUGUAGCACCCCUUCUUUCUUUUGCUAAAUAAGAAAAAUAAGCUGCUCUCUGCCCAAGCAAGACAAAUGUACUUGGGAUACCUAUUCUUUCCUGUGAUUUCUCUGGACUUGCAUCACUGGUUUAAGAUUUAAGGCAUCUUCUUGGUUCUUUACUUUUCAUUGUUUCACAGCUCUUUGCUACUGUUUACUCAAUAUCCAUGUAAAGAUUGUUUAAUGGACACUUUGAAAACUUCACAAUUGUAAAGCAGUCCAGGUUUGUUGUUUGUGGUGUCAUUCUAUCUUUCUUUUCUCUGUUGUUUUCCUCCCUUCUGACCCUUGAUCAACUAAUGAGUGUCCUUACACCCUGACUACUCAGUUCUCCCCACAACUCUGCCUAUCCUAGUGUGCUAGUCUCUCAAUGACAAAGUCAUUCUUCUUUCUCCUCCAACUAAAACGCUCACUAGUUGAUUGUCAAGCAGAAAAUCUCUCUGAUUAACUCCCUCCCUCCAAGUAACUACUGAUUGUUAAUGGCCCAAUAUCUUAUUCUUCUAGGAUGAAAAUGAACAUUGUGAAAUAGGUGACAACUUUAUGUGACAAAUGCAUUUACCAAGGACAUAACUCUAUGAUUGUGGUAUUUCACACAUCAUGAGGUGGAACACUGGGGUUGUUUCUAGAAGGGAUGUGUAAGCUACUGCCUAUUCCCAUUUGUUUAAGGAUUUUUCAGUCUUAGAAUUGUUCAUUUCUAUUCUUCUUCCAUGGAGGAAUCUAAAUGCUGUUAUGUCACGGUAACUAACUGCAUUGUGCUUCAUAUAUUAUCAUGUAGAUUACAGGGCAAGUUAUUUUGUUUUCUAAAACAUUACUGGUAGAACAUAAAGAACAGUAGCAAUAAGACUAUUAACUUCUUAAUUGUUCCUGGAUACCAUUAUUAUACAUUCAAAUUUUGGUGAAGCCUCUGAUCAGAGUAUUUAAAGGUGUGUGUAUUUAAAAACUUGUGACAUAGAUCAUAUAUUAAAAAUAGUCUGCUUCAGAUUAUUCUCUGGGAACAAAACAAUGGAGUAGAUGGAAGGAGCUUAGUCAUCAAAGCAUUUCUUACAUAAUAGAUAUGACAAUGGUAAAAAUAGAUGAAAAUUGAAGGAAAAGAGAUGAAGCGUAGAGAAUAGUUUUAAGGAAACUAUACAAACAGACAGCAGAUGUCACUGUUGCUUUUUCAUUAUCAUUAAUCUUUUUUUGGGUUUUGUUCCUAGUUAAUGACAUUUUUCAUUUUAUUUGAGAACUCUAAUAGGUUAAUCAAGUUCACGUAUGCUGAACUUCUGUUUUGAAUGUUAUGUUUAUUAAGGUUAUGCCUAUAAACUUUGCAUAUAUAAUUAUAAAGAAGAUACUUUGUAUGCUGAGGACCAUUAAUUUAAUAUUAUAAAUUGACAAAAUAAUUUUUAUAAUAAACAUCAUCUGAUUCAGAAUAGUUUCCUAAUAAAAUAAAGUGUUAAUCAUCUUGAAGAACAGCUGGUCUUGAUCUUCUUUUAAAUGACCAGUCAUAUCAUUUGUUCUCUUUAUUGUGAAUACUGAAAUACAUAUCACCAAAUCUUCUCUGUGAUGAUGAUCUAAGAGAUUUUUUUUACCAUGUGAACACAACCAGCCAGUUUUAUGUAGAACCUGAGAAACACGUUCCACAUCAACUUCCAAAACACUAUUCACCCCCCCCGUUUCAUUUUCUCUCCUUGAUCAGUUCAACUCUAGCUUUCAAUUACAGUGUUUCCUCUUCAAGCUGCUGUGUAGGAUGCACAAACCUCAAUUUCUCAUCUUCCUAUCUAAUCAUUUACCAGAUCCUGUUGAUUCUAACUUCUGUGUUUUUAUUUCUUUUCUCUUCUUCUUUUCUUUUCUCAAAGACAGGGUCUCUCUCUCUGUCACCCAGGCUGGUGUGCAGUACCUUUGUAAAGGCACUACAACAGUGUGCAUUUCUAAAAUCAACUUCCUUUUUAUCACAAACUUUAAACUUCAUAGUACACAGCUAAGUAUGUGACACACAUGCACACAUUUCUGUAGGAAGAAUAACUUGGACAGUUUUUCAGUUUCAGUGGGGCUCCAUUAUUUCAUGAGAAUGAAAUGAGGCAACCUUGGUUUUAAUGUGGAAAAAAAUUCAGCAAGAACUAGUAAUAAUACAAUGAGAGUUUCUAAAGAUUUCUUUUUCAUAAAAUCUAAUUCUAUUGUCAUUUUUAAUUCAAAAGACUACAACUUUACUGUUAUAUUCUUAAACAUAGUAAGCCUGUUUUUUUUUUUAAAUCUAUAAAAUAAGGAACUUGGGUAAAAUGUUCCUAAUGUGCUUUUCAUAGAUAAAAUUCUAUUAUUCAAUAGGAAGUACUGAAAGGCGUACUUAGGAUUGCUUAUUUCUCUUACAAAAACCUCAUCAGUAUAUGUUCUAUGCUUCUAUAAAAAUGUAUUACAGAUGAUUACUUUUAGAACUAAAAUGAAAAUAUAUAUUAAGCACUUACUGGGGAAUUAGGAUUUUUAUAAUCAUAGGACAGUAGUGAAAAUUACUUGAAAUCUGUUAUAACUGAAAAACAAUUCAAGGAAUUUAAUGACAUUAAUCUUUACAUUUGAAGAUAAGCCUGUGACUGUGUAUAUGUUGUAACUGUUACAAUAAAUGAUAAAAACUAGCUUCUAUUUUGGAUUUUGUUAUCUUGAUUGCUUACUGAAAAUAUUAAUGGAAGUAAUGACACAGGAGUCAGGGAGAGGAAGGAGAUGGGCUGUCCAAACAUGUUUUCUGUUAUCCAUGUGUGAGCACUGCCUAUGAACACUAAGGCAGGGGUCCCCAACCCCUGGGACCAGUACUGGUCUGUGACCUGCUAGGAACUGGGCCGUAUAGCAGGAGGUGAGCAGUGGAUGAGCAAGGGAGCAUUACUGCCUGAGCUCUGCCUCCUGUCAGAUCAGCAGCGUUCAAUUCUCAUAGGAGGGCUACCCUGUUGUGAACUGCACGUGCAAGGGAUCUAGGUUGCACACUCCUUAUGAAACUCUAAUGCCUGAUGAUCUGAGGUGGAACAGUUUUAUCCUGAAAUCAUCCCUCCAGCUUUGCCCCACAUCCCCACUGUCCAUGGAAAAAUUGUCUUCCACGAAAAUGGUUCCUGGUGCCAAAAAGGUUGGGGACCACUGCUCUAAGGAAUAUAUUUAGAAUUGCUGGAAUAAAUAAUUUUUAUCACUGGUGAAUUGGCAUAUGGUUUUCUGUGUUUGAUUUAUAUAUUAUUUAACUAAGUAAGUGUUCUGAAGAGGAAUUUAGAAAAAGAGUAUUUUAUUCACUAGUAGGAACUUUAGUGCUCAGAGACAUGUUUCUGCAGCCUGUCCCAGCAUGUUAUUUUUUGAACACAUUGCAUCUUCAGUAUAGAUGUGGUUUGAAACUUGGACUUCACUUUUAAUUCACGUCAUCUUGGUUAGGAAAUUCAACUUCUCAUUAGUGAAAAUUUCUUAUAAAAGCGAGAAUAAUGCUACCUAUAUUUUUUGGGAUUGUUGUGAAGAUUACACUUGAUAAAUUUAAACACCAAUAUAUGUGUAAGGUGUACCAUAAAUUAUUGAUAUAUAUAUCAUUGUAACCACUAAUAGCAAAUGUUUCUCAAUGGCCUAGUAAGUAAAAGGUGUUUUGUUGAUUCUGGGAUUAUAAAAAGAUAGAAUUUGUGGUCUUCAUAGUUAGAAGCAGUAUUUAAAUAACGAACUUACUAUUUGUAACAGUAGUUAUUUACUUGCAAUCUUUAAAAAUUGUUAUUUAUUUAUUUAUUUAUUUAUUUAUUAUUAUACUUUAAG